rnacentral:snoRNA from 1 species
AUGUCAAGGCUGGGGCAUCUUCUAAAAAAAUUCUUGAACCUCUCCCAUGCCUCAGGAUAGCUCUCUAAAUCUCUCUACUUGAAGGUGUGGACGUUAUUCCUGAUUU